UAAAAGAUAAGCUAAUAAAGCUAACGGGUUCAUACCCCGCAAAUGAAAGUUAUAAUCUUUCUCUUUUUA
rnacentral:tRNA from 1 species